rnacentral:tRNA from 1 species
CCAAUAUAAACCUGAGUCAUCCUGAGGUCGUGCGUUCGAUCCGCACAGGAGGCA